rnacentral:rRNA from 1 species
UACGUAGGGGGCAAGCGUUGUCCGGAUUCAUUGGGCGUAAAGAGCGUGUAGGCGGCCAGGUAGGUCGGUUGUGAAAACUGGAGGCUCAACCUUCAGAGGUCGACCGAAACCAUCUGGCUAGAGUCCGGGAGAGGAGAGUGGAAUUCCUGGUGUAGCGGUGAAAUGCGUAGAUAUUCGGAAGAACACCGGUGGCGAAGGCGACCUUCUGGGCCGCAACUGACGCUGAGGCACGAAAGCCUGGGGAGCAAACGGG